rnacentral:rRNA from 1 species
CCUACGGGUGGCAGCAGUGAGGAAUAUUGGUCAAUGGGCGAGAUCCUGAACCAGCCAAGCCGCGUGAGGGAAGACGGCCCUAUGAGUUGUAAACCUCUUUUGUCGGAGAGCAAAACCCGGUACGUGUCCCUGACUGCAUGUAUCCUAAGAAAAAGCAUCGGCUAACUCCGUGCCAGCAGCCGCGGUAAUACGGAGGAUUCGAGCGUUAUCCGGAUUUAUUGGGUUUAAAGGGUGCGUAGGCGGUCGGUUAAGUCAGCGGUAAAAUUCCGGGGCUCAACGCUGAAGAGCCGUUGAUACUGGCAGACUAGAGAGUGCGAGCGGUAGGCGGAAUGCGCGGUGUAGCGGUGAAAUGCAUAGAUAUCAUGCAGAACUCCGAUUGCGAAGGCAGCGUAC